UCAUUUUCCCUAUUAUUUUUGGCUGAAAAAUGACCAGUUUAUAAUUAUAUUUGAAAAUAGUUAAACUUUAAUGGGCGACUGAAAGUAGGAUGUUUUUUCAUAUUUUAAAGGAAAGAAAGAUUGUUGCCGCCAAUGUGUUUCCAUUUUCCCUCCAAUUAAUAGCCAACCCUAACACACACUUUGGGUUGGGUCGGAAUGGGUGAAAUUCCGGUGUUUACUGACACCAAUCUUGGCACUCGCAUUGUCGUCCCUCUUUCUCCCCACGCUACCCCCUACCACUUCAAAAGAGAAGUUGAAAGGACUCACUUGAAUUGUUUCUCAGAGAUGGGGCAGAUCAAAGUGGAUGCUGUGAUGGUCGAAAGGAACUCCUGCUUUUACCACCUUUCUGGAAAUUUUCCUCUAAAGCAUGUUUUCCAGCAUCAAGAGGGAUUUAGAUCACUGCAUGUCCAAGUUCAUCAAUAUGGGUUGGGUUCAUCUGAACUGGAUCAUGAUGAUAAUGUUACUUCUAGUCCCACAAAACUCAGAACUUCUACGACAAGCACAAAAUCUGACAAGUUAAAAUGCCAAGGAAAAGUGAAAAAGUUGAAAAGAUUUGCCUGGCUUAGAAGUAGACUAUUAGAUGUUUUAAGAAUAGUUCAUUUAUCAAAGAAAAAAAAGAAAAAGAAGAAAAAGAAAAAGGAAAGGAACAGAGCUAGGGAAAUGAACACAUUUAACUGCUUAGAAGGAUCUGAGGAGCCUAUAGUUGUUUCCACAUAUGGAUGUGAAGGUAAGGAACAAAGUUUCUGUCCAGCAGCAGAGUGUGAAGAUUCAUCCGAAGCAAUUUCGGUUUCGGGAAUUAUCAGGAAAUAUUUCUCAAGUUAUGAUGAGGUGAACUCAAGCUCAAGAUUUUCUCAUCAAGGAGCUCAAACUCUAAAAGGGAAUCAUACAAGGGUUGGAACAAAUCUUCGUGAUCUUAAUGUAGAAUGUGCUUUGCUGUCUCCUUGUUCAGCCAAAACACCUCGGCAAAUUUCAAAUGAAAGCGUUAGCAGAGCCUCAAACAAUAAGUCUAAAGGGAUUGAAAUUGGAAGUCGUAUUGUUUCCGCAUCUAAAAGUCUCUCUAGUCUCCGCAGUACGAGAUUGCUGCCUAGAUCUGCUUCUCAUAUUCAAAAUCUAGCAUUUGAGUGGAACUUAUGAUAUACCACCAUAAAAAAUUACAUGCCAUUUCUGGUGGACAUUGCUGGUAGAAGGAGUAGCAAAAUGUUGCUUAAGAGAUGAACUUCAUCUUUGUAUCGAACUUCUCCUUUCCGUUUACAAUCUUCAGCUUUUAGGCUUUCUUGGGUGAGUAGGCGAAUGCAAUUCUAAAGGUAGUUUGAAUGCUGGUGGAGAGUAUCUUCAAUCGUGGAUUCGAAAGGUUGCUGUAAAGAUUUGUGGCCUACUUCAAACUGUUGCUUCUCUGAUCUGAAGAGUUGGUUGCUGUGAAUCCUUUUUAGCCUCUUGAUGUAUAGAUGUAAAGAACUAAGUAGUGUUUCUACAAGGUUGAUGGCAUGCUAGACAUAUUUGGUUCAUUCGAUUUCGUCCCAUGCGGGUCUUGUGCAGCAAAGGAAGCAAGGGGUAGUCAAACAAUGGAAUUCCAAACAGUUUGAAGAGACUUUAGUUCCUUCCCAUUUGGACAUAAAUCUAGAUAUUCUUCAUCAUUCCAAUAGGUGGGUUGCAAAUCAUUUCAUCUUAUGAAAGGUGUUACAGUGCCAAAUUUCCUGGGUCUGCAAUGUACUUGAAGAAUUAAAGUACAGGUAUCCCUAGUUCAGCUAGUUUGUGCAUUCCCUCUUGGAUUCCAGAGGUACAAUAAAAACAUCCUUUGGACAUAUAUGAAAAAGAAGUAAUAUAUGGUCAUUGAUCUGCAAUUAAGAGAACUUCAAAGGAGAUGUCCCACCUUCUUAUAUGAUGGUACUCUGCGUUUCCAAUGUCUAUUCACUUUGCAACUCUCCAGUUGGACCACAAAUGGAACUUGUGCGGGAUCGAACUGACGGAUGGUAGUAAGAACAUUAUUUAUGUCUAUCACUAUAUUAUAAAUUGGAUUUGUUUGUUUCACUGGUAUUCUAUUAUUGCUGUCCUGUAGCUGACUGAGCCAAAAAUUCAGGUGUUAAGCAAUUUCUGUUGGGAAUCUACAAGCCAAUUGAUGAGCCUCCUCAUGUUGAAGCC